rnacentral:rRNA from 1 species
UACGGAGGGGGCAAGCGUUGUUCGGAUUUACUGGGCGUAAAGGGCGCGUAGGCGGUCAAGCAAGUCAGUUGUGAAAUCUAUGGGCUUAACCCAUAACUGCCAACUGAUACUGCUCGACUAGAGUGCAGAAGGGGCAAUCGGAAUUCUUGGUGUAGCGGUGAAAUGCGUAGAUAUCAAGAGGAACACCAGAGGCGAAGGCGGAUUGCUGGGCUGACACUGACGCUGAGGCGCGAAAGCUAGGGUAGCAAACGGG